GACAGAGGGUGCAAACGUUGUUCGGAAUUACUGGGCGUAAAGCGCUCGCAGGUGGUUCGUCGCGUCGUGCGUGAAAGACCCCGGCUCAACUGGGGAGGGUCGUGCGAUACGGGCGGACUGGAGGCCAGUAGGGGGAUGCGGAAUUCCGGGUGUAGUGGUGGAAUGCGUAGAGAUCCGGAGGAACACCGAUGGCGAAGGCAGAUCUCUGGGCCGUAACUGACGCUGAGGAGCGAAAGCAUGGGGAGCGAACAGG
rnacentral:rRNA from 1 species